UACGGAGGGUGCGAGCGUUGUCCGGAAUCAUUGGGCGUAAAGGGCGCGUAGGUGGCCCGGUCAGUUCGUGGUGAAAGCGCGGGGCUCAACCCUGCGUCGGCCAUGAAUACUGCCGCGGCUGGAGCACUGUAGAGGCAGGCGGAAUUCCGGGUGUAGCGGUGGAAUGCGUAGAGAUCCGGAAGAACACCGGUGGCGAAGGCGGCCUGCUGGGCAGUGCUGGACAC
rnacentral:rRNA from 1 species